GACGAACGCUGGCGGCGCGCUUAACACAUGCAAGUCGAGCGAUGAAAUUUCGACAGAUCCCUUCGGGGUGAAGAUGAAAUGGAUUAGCGGCGGACGGGUGAGUAACACGUGAGUAACCUGCCUUUGACAUUGGGAUAGCCUCGGGAAACUGGGAUUAAUACCAAAUGACACUAACUGAUCACAUGAUCAAUUAGUCAAAGAAAUUCGGUCAAAGAUGGACUCGCGGCUGAUUAGCUAGUUGGUGAGGUAACGGCCCACCAAGGCGACGAUCAGUAGCCGGGAAGAGAGGGUGAGCGGCCACAUUGGAGCUGAGACACAGUCCAAAAUACUACGGGAGGGAGCAGUGGGGAAUAUUGCACAACGGGGGAAACCAUGAUGCAGCGACGACGGGUGAGCGAAGAAGGCCUUCGGGUCGGAAAGCUAUUUUAUGAGGGAAGAUAAUGACGGUACCUCAAGAAAAAGCCCCGGCUAACUACGUG
rnacentral:rRNA from 1 species